rnacentral:rRNA from 1 species
AGUGAACGCUGGCGGUAGGCCUAACACAUGCAAGUCGAACGGCAGCACAGUAAGAGCUUGCUCUUACGGGUGGCGAGUGGCGGACGGGUGAGGAAUACAUCGGAAUCUACUUUUUCGUGGGGGAUAACGUAGGGAAACUUACGCUAAUACCGCAUACGACGUACGGGUGAAAGCAGGGGAUCUUCGGACCUUGCGCGAUUGAAUGAGCCGAUGUCGGAUUAGCUAGUUGGCGGGGUAAAGGCCCACCAAGGCGACGAUCCGUAGCUGGUCUGAGAGGAUGGUCAGCCACACUGGAACGGAGACACGGUCCAGACUCCUACGGGAGGCAGCAGUGGGGAAUAUUGGACAAUAGGCGCAAGCCUGAUCCAGCCAUACCGCGUGGGUGAAGAAGGCCUUCGGGUUGUAAAGCCCUUUUGUCGGGAAAGAAAAGCAGCAGGUUAAUACCCCGCUGUUCUGACGGUACCCAAAGAAUAAGCACCGGCUAACUUCGUG